UCCAACUGUGGUUUAUCUUUAAACCCAAAAAAAUUUGGAAACUGAGGUCAUUGUUUCUGAGACCUGUGCAGAAUCAGCUGUGUCUUCACGAGACCGGCGGUGAUGCAAACACAGACAUCUGUGGACACUUUGCUUAUUAGAGAAGAUGAGAAGUCUUUAAAAGGGUAAAAGAAAUCAAAGUCCUCCCAAGAGCUGAGUGGUGGAAUAAGGGAACCUGGAAGAGAAAGGGAACAAACUCGGAACCCUUGGAGCCAAACAGACCCAGGCUGUGCCUGGGAGAGGAAGUCAUACCUCGGGAGUGAGGAGUGGCCACUCCUAACAGACAGGUCACAAGGAAGGGAGAUGCAGAAACAACAUCCUGAAAGCAGUGCAUUAUUUUGUCACUGAAAGGAGGACAUGGAAGUGCAGCAAGCAAUGAUGAAAACAUCUGGUGAACAGGAUGACAUCAGAAAGAGGAUUUGGCAAGAGAUGAAGCGAAUCUUAUAAAGACUAGAGGGAAAUGCAUCUGACAGAAGUCACUGACAUGAUUGAGAGGACUUGAAACGGACCUGUAUACUCAUACUCAGAAAAUAAGAGAGGAGCCACCAGUAUUGAAAACACAGAGAUGCACAGAAAAUACUGCAGGUUCUCCUACCUACGCACCUCCUACCCCAGAGUAACAGAUGCCUCUUCUGGGCUCAAUUCCAGGAUGAUGGAUAAAAAAACAACAGUAGUCACACGCUGCCAGGCACAUCUGGAUGAAGGCAGAGCAGUGAUGGGGGAGGGAGUCCAAGUAAUGACCAGAAGUCAGUCUCUUUCCUCCCACACACAUAUUUAGGGGCUGACAUCACAGCUCCACAGUUUGAACUACAGAUGGAAAAGUAACUGGAUCCAAGUCAGGAAAUUUAACCUUUAUCAGAAGACUGGAAAGACUUGAGCAGAGAAGCUCACACCUGUUGUGCCGGGGGACUAAAAGUCAACAACCCAAUACUGUCAUUAUUGCCCUAAAAGUAACUUUUGCUAAAGCAAUAAACUAGGAUGAGGGCCACUGAUUGAGCUUCCACUGACACUUUUCCCUGAUACUGCUUUAUCCUGAAGAAAAUGACAAAAAUAAGACGACUGAAAAGAAAGCAUCCUCCCACCUCCCUGUUUCCAGAUGGGCAGCUCACUCAGACUCCCUGGUGGACUUCCAGGUGGGGCUCCCUGGCAGGCUGGCCCCCUGCCUGGCUGCCACCAGCCCAACCUCUACAUCAGUCUCCAGAGUCCGGUCCUCCCCGAGCAGUCCUGCAGGGGCACCCCCCACAAUUCACGAGAGCUGAUCCCUCGGGUCCUCAUCUAUGGGAAACUGAGACGGGCUCCAAAAUGAUAAGAUGAGGGUGCCAUAUAGCCUCCUGGAUCCAGUGAUCAGAUGGCCAUUUAGAACAUCUGACUGCGGUAGUCAGACCGAUGAAGUCAUCCAGCAAAAGGCAGGAACACAGUGACCAGCCAGGCUCAGCCAGGCGCAGCCAUGGGACGGAACGCAAACACUUCCUCGUCUGUGAUUUCAGCCGUCUGGACCAAACACAGCCAAAGCAGCAAUGAGCUCACAGGGAGGCCGCCUGGAGAGUCUUUAGAGUUUGUGCCUCAGGAUGCCCUUCUCUUUUAACACCUGUCUUUUCUUGUGUUCUCCUUAUUUAUCAGUUUCCUUUCCUGUCCAGCUUGCUUCUUUCCUUUUUCACAACUUACUUUUAUUUUACCUAUGUCAUCUUUCUGAAUUAAAAUUUAUCACCCUCCCUGCCAGAUUAUUCCUACUGCACUAGAUAUUGCUUUACAAGUCAGCGUGGUUUUAGCAGAGCUGUAUUAGUCAUUGCAGAGAUAUUGCAUAUUGUUACAAAGAUUUCCACAAUCUUUAAGGAGGUCCCACCUGCAUUGUAUGUUAUCUGAGUUACAACUGGUUUAUUCAUGCAGCAAAUUAAACUUGUGUUCAUAGUUGACUAAAGGCAGAAGACAUUCCAAAGAUCACCAAAUCCAAUCCCUUAAUUUUACAGAUGAGAAAACUAUGGCCCAGAGAGUUCA